rnacentral:rRNA from 1 species
AGUGGCGGACGGGUGAGUAACGCGUAAGAAUCUAACUUCAGGACGGGGACAACAGUUGGAAACGACUGCUAAUACCCGAUGUGCCGCAAGGUGAAACCUAAUUGGCCUGGAGAAGAGCUUGCGUCUGAUUAGCUAGUUGGUGGGGUAAAGGCCUACCAAGGCGACGAUCAGUAGCUGGUCUGAGAGGAUGAGCAGCCACACUGGGACUGAGACACGGCCCAGACUCCUACGGGAGGCAGCAGUGGGGAAUUUUCCGCAAUGGGCGAAAGCCUGACGGAGCAACGCCGCGUGAGGGAGGAAGGUCUUUGGAUUGUAAACCUCUUUUCUCAAGGAAGAAGUUCUGACGGUACUUGGGGAAUCAGCCUCGGCUAACUCCGUGCCAGCAGCCGCGGUAAUACGGGGGAGGCAAGCGUUAUCCGGAAUUAUUGGGCGUAAAGCGUCCGCAGGUGGUCAGCCAAGUCUGCCGUCAAAUCAGGUUGCUUAACGACCUAAAGGCGGUGGAAACUGGCAGACUAGAGAGCAGUAGGGGUAGCAGGAAUUCCCAGUGUAGCGGUGAAAUGCGUAGAGAUUGGGAAGAACAUCGGUGGCGAAAGCGUGCUACUGGGCUGUAUCUGACACUCAGGGACGAAAGCUAGGGGAGCGAAAGGGAUUAGAUACCCCUGUAGUCCUAGCCGUAAACGAUGGAUACUAGGCGUGGCUU